rfam:Daphnia pulex DAPPTscaffold_4_Cont264, whole genome shotgun sequence.
UUGAGAUGAUGAUGAAACAGUUCUGCUACUGAGUGUUAGAGACGAUAACAAAUACCAAACCUUCUGAUCA